AAAUUUACUUACGAAAUAGUAUUGAUCAAGAAGGGUACUUUUCCAGGGUGAGGCGUAACAUUGCACUCAGUUUGCGCUGACCUCUGAGGCUUACUCAAAUUGAGUAACGCCUGCCCUGAAAUUAAC
rnacentral:snRNA from 16 species